CAGCAGUCGCCGCGGGAAUACGAAGGGGGCUAGCGUUGUUCGGAUUUACUGGGCGUAAAGCGCACGUAGGCGGACUUUUAAGUCAGGGGUGAAAUCCCGGGGCUCAACCCCGGAACUGCCUUUGAUACUGGAAGUCUUGAGUAUGGUAGAGGUGAGUGGAAUUCCGAGUGUAGAGGUGAAAUUCGUAGAUAUUCGGAGGAACACCAGUGGCGAAGGCGGCUCACUGGACCAUUACUGACGCUGAGGUGCGAAAGCGUGGGGAGCAAACAGGAUUAGAUACCCCAGUAGUCCCUGUCUCUUAUAA
rnacentral:rRNA from 1 species